rnacentral:rRNA from 1 species
GACGAACGCUGGCGGCGUGCUUAACACAUGCAAGUCGAACGGAAAGGCCCCCACCUUGGUGGGGGUGCUCGAGUGGCGAACGGGUGAGUAACACGUGGGGGAUCUGCCCUGUACUUCGGGAUAAGCUUGGGAAACUGGGUCUAAUACCGGAUAGGACCAUGGGUUAGUGUCUUAUGGUGGAAAAAUUAUUGUUUUGGUGCAGGAUGAGCUCGCGGCCUAUCAGCUUGUUGGUGGGGUAAUGGCCUACCAAGGCGUCGACGGGUAGCCGGCCUGAGAGGGUGGACGGCCACAUUGGGACUGAGAUACGGCCCAGACUCCUACGGGAGGCAGCGGUGGGGAAUAUUGCACAAUGGGCGAAAGCCUGAUGCAGCGACGCCGCGUGGGGGAUGACGGCCUUCGGGUUGUAAACUCCUUUCGUUAGGGACGAAGCCACACCUUUUUUGGGUGUGGUGACGGUACCUUUGUUAAGAAGCACCGGCUAACUACGUG